UGGCUCUCCCAUCGAUGAAGAACGCAGCGAAAUGCGAUAAGUAAUGUGAAUUGCAGAAUUCAGUGAAUCAUCGAAUCUUUGAACGCACCUUGCGCCCUUUGGUAUUCCGAAGGGCAUGCCUGUUUGAGUGUCAUUAAAUUCUCAACCUUAUAGACUUUAUUGUUUUGUAAGGCUUGGAUGUGAGGGUUAUUGCUGGCUUCCUUAAGUGCGAUGGUCAGCUCCCUUGAAAUGCAUUAGUGGAAUCCUUUGUGGAUCGUCACUGAGUGUGAUAAUUAUUGUGCUCUUUGACCCUGAAGCAAUACUAUAUGGAAUCUGCUUAUAACCGUCCAUUUACUUGGACAAUUUACUUGACAAUUUGACCUCAAAUCAGGUAGGACUACCCGCUGA
rnacentral:misc_RNA from 1 species